CACGUAGGGCGCAAGCGUUGUCCGGAAUCAUUGGGCGUAAAGAGCUCGUAGGCGGUCUGUUGCGUCCGCUGUGAAAACUCGGGGCUUAACCCCGGGCCUGCAUUCGAUACGGGCAGACUAGAGUUCGGUAGGGGAGUCUGGAAUUCCUGGUGUAGCGGUGAAAUGCGCAGAUAUCAGGAGGAACACCGGUGGCGAAGGCGGGACUCUGGGCCGAUACUGACGCUGAGGAGCGAAAGCGUGGGGAGCAAACAGG
rnacentral:rRNA from 1 species